GGGACCGUGGUGCAACAGGAGCACGCCGGCAUGGCAGGCCGGAGACGAGGGUGCGACUCCCUCCGGCUUCCA
rnacentral:tRNA from 2 species